AAUGAAGGUCAGGGAAAUUAAAUGAUUGAGCUGCAGAUACACGGCCAGUAAAUGAGAGAGGCCAAAUAUUUUGACACCUUGCCAUGUGUGGUUUUUAUUACUCUGAGUAGCCUCUAGAGGGUAAAUGUAGGUUUUACAAAAUGAGUAGCCGUGAUUCCUUUCUUCACUAGGAAUUUUCAACAUGCUCAAAUGAUUUUCGUGGGGGAUAGACAUAAGUAGUAAAAAGCAGGUUUCAUAAAAGCUAACUUUUGACUGGAGUUGUAAUAACUGCAUCAGUUAAGAUUAGGUUCACUAAUGGAGAUCUGGGGAAAGGAAGCUUUGUUUGAAGGCUCAAGCUUAGGAAGCCUCUCCUUUCUAAGUUAAAGUAAUAGUCAUUCUGCUUUCUCAUGGCCAAUGCCAGCUUAAGGUAGAAUUUCACCACGUAAAACUAUAUUUGAAAUAUAUGACUUUUGAACAAAGAUCUAAAGUAAUUUCCUUCGCCAGAACUUAACAAAGGUGGAUGUGUGGAAAUGGAAGUGGCACCAGAUUUAGGGACUUGGACACCUAAUUUUUCUCAGGAAUGGGGGUGGACAGUGGUGAGUGAAGAGGCAAAAGACAGACUCAAGGAAAGUGUGGGCGGGGAGACAACAGAACCCACAUGGGAAUUAUGGAAUUGAAUAAUUCCCUAGCCACACCUGGCCCAGGAAAUUUUGAAGUUCUUACAGGUACAGGGUUGGGAAAUUCAUCAUUUGCACAUAAUUCCUGGAGACUUGCUUCAUAUCACCAGCUUCUACUUUGUCCCCAGAGACAUUUCUACUUCUACU
rnacentral:lncRNA from 10 species